CGCCAGACUCCUACGGGAGGCAGCAGUGGGGGAUAUUGCACAAUGGGGGGAACCCUGAUGCAGCGACGCCGCGUGGGUGAAGGAGCGUUUCGGCGCGUAAAGCCCUAUCGGCAGGGAAGAAGGAGGACGGUACCUGACUAAGAAGCCCCGGCUAACUACGUGCCAGCAGCCGCGGGAAUACGUAGGGGGCAAGCGUUAUCCGGAUUUACUGGGUGUAAAGGGAGCGUAGACGGCAGUGCAAGUCCGGAGUGAAAGCCCGGGGCUCAACCCUGGGACUGCUCUGGAAACUGUAAAGCUGGAGUGCGGGAGGGGCAGGCGGAAUUCCUGGUGUAGCGGUGAAAUGCGUAGAUAUUAGGAGGAACACCAGUGGCGAAGGCGGCCUGCUGGACGAUGACUGACGUUGAGGCUCGAAAGCGUGGGGAGCAAACAGGAUUAGAUACCCCUGUACAG
rnacentral:rRNA from 1 species